UCCGUAGGGUGCGAGCGUUAAUCGGAAUUACUGGGCGUAAAGCGUGCGCAGGUGGUUCGUUGUGUCUGAUGUGAAAGCCCCGGGCUCAACCUGGGAAUGGCAUUGGAAACUGUCGAGCUGGAGUGCGGCAGAGGGGGGUGGAAUUCCGCGUGUAGCAGUGAAAUGCGUAGAGAUGCGGAGGAACACCGAUGGCGAAGGCAGCCCCCUGGGCCGACACUGACGCUCAGGCACGAAAGCGUGGGGAGCAAACAGG
rnacentral:rRNA from 1 species